rnacentral:lncRNA from 1 species
UCGAUGGGUUUGUGGGCGCAGGGCGCGAGGCGCGAGGCGGUAGCUGGGCUAGUCCUGUUCCCUGGCGUCUGGGCCUUUCUGCUCUCCGCAAGGAGCUGGGUCGCGACCUGUCACUGCCAGCCGUGCGCUCGCCCUCUGCGCCCCGUCUCGUGGUCACUGCCGCCCUCCCUCCCGCCACACCUGUGAUGAUCGCUAUGGAGCCGCGCCUCAGGUGGCAUUACUAUAAACCUAAGAGGAGAGGCGCCCGUUCGAAUAAGGGCAAAUUAUUUAGUAUUUUGACUGGGCAGCACUGAGUCUUGACUAUAUUCCAGAACUUACCUCCAGCCUUUCCCGAUGUCUUCAAUGUUCCUGGCAGCUUAAAGUACCAACUGGGACACUUGUCACUAGUUUGAGAAGUGCAGCCAUAGGGACCUCUUUUGAAAGAUGAAUCAAUGAAUUAAGUCAUUUCUGAGAAACCAAGGAGGCCUGUUGAAGGAGGCUGGCCCUCCUGUGGCAGGUAACCCAACCUCCACUGCCCUUGGCAACAGGACAAGGCUAAUAUUUUCCCAAGAAGGGCCUUUUCAUGGAAUGAUCUUUCCAACCCGUUGACUACAACAAGC